GACGAACGCUGGCGGCGUGCUUAACACAUGCAAGUCGAGCGGAGCGGCGAACGGGUGAGUAACGCGUGAGUAACUGCCCCCCUCUCUGGGAUAACAGUUGGAAACGGCUGCUAAUACCGGAUAGUGGGGGAUGACUCGAGUCCUAUCAGCUGGUUGGUGGGGUAGGGGCCGCCCAAGGCGACGACGGGUAGCCGGCCUGAGAGGGCGACCGGCCACAUGGACCUGUGAUACGGCCCAAACGCCUACGGGAGGCAGCAGUGGGGAAUAUGGCACAAUGGGGGAAACCCUGAUGCAGCGACGCCGCGUGGGGGAUGAAGGCUUUCGGGUUGUAAACCUCUUUCGCUAUCGAAAGGGUAGGUGGAGAAGAAGCGCCGGCUAACUACGUGCCAGCAGCCGCGGUAAUAC
rnacentral:rRNA from 1 species